GGGCGAAUGGUCUAGGGGUAUGAUACUCCCUUCGCAUAUCUGAUUCUCAGAGCAUAGUGAUUUGGGAGGGGUCCGGGGUUCAAUUCCCCGUUCGUCCA
rnacentral:tRNA from 1 species